UACAGAGGGUGCGAGCGUUAAUCGGAAUUACUGGGCGUAAAGCGCGCGUAGACGGUUUUGUAAGUCGGAUGUGAAAUCCCCGGGCUCAACCUGGGAACUGCAUUCGAUACUGCUUGGCUAGAGUACGGUAGAGGGAAGCGGAAUUUCCGGUGUAGCGGUGAAAUGCGUAGAUAUCAGGAGGAACACCGGUGGCGAAGGCGGCUAUCUGGACAGAGUCUGACGCUGAGGCGCGAAAGCUAGGGGAGCAAACGGG
rnacentral:rRNA from 1 species